rnacentral:rRNA from 1 species
UACGGAGGGGGCAAGCGUUGUUCGGAAUUACUGGGCGUAAAGGGCGCGCAGGCGGCUGCUCAAGUCAGGCGUGAAAGGCCUGGGCUCAACCCGGGAAUUGCGCUUGAGACUGGGCUGGCUUGAGUGCGGGAGAGGAUGGUGGAAUUCCCAGUGUAGAGGUGAAAUUCGUAGAUAUUGGGAAGAACACCGGUGGCGAAGGCGGCAUCCUGGACCAAUUCUGACGCUGAGGAGCGAAAGCUAGGGGAGCGAACAGG